AUGCGUGGACCCCACAUAAACGGCCCCUGUGGGUUUGUUCUGACUUCCUGGGGCCCUCCCACCCGCUGCUGCCGCCAUGAGGAAGUCAGACAUGCCAGUUUGUACUUUACUCUUUCUGGACCCAACCAGGAACGAUCCCAGAAGUUUGAAAUUUGAAAACAAAGACGCGAAGAAAUGCUGACCCUGCCGGCCCAGGGCGCCGACCACCCUCUGCUCUCUGUCGAUCUGGAGUCGGAUUUAAAAUGAAAAUUCUGCCUGAUUCUCACUCUGACGGCACUUGGGGACCUCCUGGAGGCCGUGGACCUGACUGGAGACAAAUGUCACCCCCUUUCCCUGGCCCCUCAUCCCUGACGGACCCACGUUGGCCCUGGUCGAAGGACAGAGAUGGCGACAAACAUGCCUAAGCCUCAGCCCCCACACCUCGUGCGUGGUGUGGACCCACGCAGAGCAAGCUUUCCUGAAAGAGAAACCUUCCCACUCCGCGCUGGAAGAGCAGAAACAAAAUAAAAAGUCGCUGCAACUAAUGACUCUGGAAGUGGCUUCCCUGUGCUCUGGGUCCCUCGCAGGGAAAUUGGAAUUGCAUUUCUUUACAAAGCCGCGGCUUCCAAGGAGCAUUCUGGGGCUCGGGUCCGACGGACCGGUGCGCUCCGCCCCCGGCAGGCUGGCGAGGCGAACCGGGGCCUCCGUUUCCUCCGUGACACCUGAUCGCCGUCCCCGCCAAGGGCCCCUGCCCGCGACAGCAGCACAAAAACAUUGCGACUCAACGCUGAACUCCCUUCCUGAAUCUGGCGGGGGCCCGUGGGGGCCGCGGGCCGGGGAGAAGCCCCGCGUGCACCCGAGGCCACCGGACCCUGGCCACGCAGCCACGGGCGAGGCGGCCCACGGCGCCCUGCCUGCCUGAAGUUCCGUCGGCAACUUUGCGUGGCAGAAAUGUAACAGAAAAAUAAAUCGGUGCCUAAUGGCUUCAGAGAGCCGAGGGGGACACAAUUAUGUGACAUCUGCAUGCUAAUGUAGCAGACCGGAGGCUCAAAAGCACUGGAGAGCACACUCCAAAUUCCUGCCGUGAUAAGGGGCCUCUGUGUUCAGCGAGGGCCGCGUAAAAGAUUUUUUAUGAUAAUUA